GUUGGAUUUCUGUUAAUAAUUUAUAUAUGAUAUUUUACGAUAUCUAUAUAAUGUUAACAUAAUUCAUAUUACUAUUAUUAGUAUAUGAAAUUUUACUUUGAGAAAAUUAGAGUGCUUAAAGCAGGCAUUUGCCUUGAAUACUCCAGCAUGGAAUAAUAUAAAAGAUUUUUAUCUUUUUUAUUGGUUCUAAGAUAAAAAUAAUGAUUAAUAGGGACAGUUGGGGGCAUUUGUAUUUAACAGUCAGAGGU
rnacentral:rRNA from 1 species